rnacentral:rRNA from 1 species
AUUGAACGCUGGCGGCAUGCCUUACACAUGCAAGUCGAACGGCAGCACUGGAGCAAUCCUGGUGGCGAGUGGCGAACGGGUGAGUAAUAUAUCGGAACGUGCCCAGUCGUGGGGGUUAACGCAGCGAAAGCUGUGCUAAUACCGCAUACGAUCUAUGGAUGAAAGCGGGGGAUCGCAAGACCUCGCGCGGUUGGAUCGGCCGAUAUCAGAUUAGCUAGUUGGUGAGGUAAAGGCUCACCAAGGCGACGAUCUGUAGCUGGUCUGAGAGGACGACCAGCCACACUGGAACUGAGACACGGUCCAGACUCCUACGGGAGGCAGCAGUGGGGAAUUUUGGACAAUGGGCGAAAGCCUGAUCCAGCAAUGCCGCGUGCAGGAUGAAGGCCUUCGGGUUGUAACUGCUUUUGUACGGAACGAAACGGUGAGCUCUAAUACAGUUUGCUAAUGACGGUACCGUAAGAAUAAGCACCGGCUAACUACGUGCCAGCCGCCGCCGUAA